rnacentral:rRNA from 1 species
UACGUAGGUGGCAAGCGUUGUCCGGAAUUAUUGGGCGUAAAGCGCGCGCAGGUGGUUUCUUAAGUCUGAUGUGAAAGCCCACGGCUCAACCGUGGAGGGUCAUUGGAAACUGGGGAACUUGAGUACAGAAGAGGAAAGUGGAAUUCCCGGUGUAGCGGUGAAAUGCGCAGAUAUCGGGAAGAACACCCGUGGCGAAGGCGGCUCUCUGGAACGCAACUGACGCUGAGACGCGAAAGCGUGGGGAGCAAACAGG